AACGAACGCUGGCGGCAGGCUUAACACAUGCAAGUCGAACGCACCGCAAGGUGAGUGGCAGACGGGUGAGUAACACGUGGGGCUCUGCCCAAUGGUACGGAAUAGCUCCGGGAAACUCGAAUUAAUACCGUAUGUGCCCUUCGGGGGAAAGACUUAUCGCCAUUGGAUGAACCCGCGUCGGAUUAGCUAUGUGGGGUGUGAAAGGCGCACUAAGGCGACGAUCGGUCGCUGGUCUGAGAGGAUGAACCGCCACCCUGGGACUGAGACACGGCCCGGAAUCCUACGGGAGGCAGCAGUGGGGAAUAUUGGACAAUGGGCGCAAGCCUGAUCCAGCCAUGCCGCGUGAGUGAUGAAGGCCCUAGGGUUGUAAAGCUCUUUCGCCGACGAAGAUAAUGACGGUAGUCGGAGAAGAAGCCCCGGCUAACUUCGUGCCAGCCGCCGCCGUAA
rnacentral:rRNA from 1 species